AUUGAACGCUGGCGGCAGGCCUAACACAUGCAAGUCGAACGGUAACAGGAAGAAGCUUGCUUCUUUGCUGACGAGUGGCGGACGGGUGAGUAAUGUCUGGGAAACUGCCUGAUGGAGGGGGAUAACUACUGGAAACGGUAGCUAAUACCGCAUAACGUCGCAAGACCAAAGAGGGGGACCUUCGGGCCUCUUGCCAUCGGAUGUGCCCAGAUGGGAUUAGCUAGUAGGUGGGGUAACGGCUCACCUAGGCGACGAUCCCUAGCUGGUCUGAGAGGAUGACCAGCCACACUGGAACUGAGACACGGUCCAGACUCCUACGGGAGGCAGCAGUGGGGAAUAUUGCACAAUGGGCGCAAGCCUGAUGCAGCCAUGCCGCGUGUAUGAAGAAGGCCUUCGGGUUGUAAAGUACUUUCAGCGGGGAGGAAGGGAGUAAAGAUAAUACCUUUGCUCAUUGACGUUACCCGCAGAAGAAGCACCGGCUAACUCCGUG
rnacentral:rRNA from 1 species